rnacentral:rRNA from 1 species
AGCGAACGCUGGCGGCAGGCCUAACACAUGCAAGUCGAACGAACUCUUCGGAGUUAGUGGCGGACGGGUGAGUAACACGUGGGAACGUGCCUUUAGGUUCGGAAUAACUCAGGGAAACGUGUGCUAAUACCGAAUGUGCCCUUCUGGGGAAAGAUUUAUCGCCUUUAGAGCGGCCCGCGUCUGAUUAGCUAGUUGGUGAGGUAAAGGCUCACCAAGGCGACGAUCAGUAGCUGGUUUGAGAGGCUGAUCAGCCACACUGGGACUGAGACACGGCCCGAACUCCUACGGGAGGCAGCAGUGGGGAAUCGUGCGCAAUGGGCGAAAGCAUGACGCAGCCAUGCCGCGUGAAUGAUGAAGGUAUUAGGAUUGUAAAAUUCUUUCAACGGGGACGAUAAUGACGGUACCCGGAGAAGAAGCCCCGGCUAACUUCGUG